rnacentral:rRNA from 1 species
UACGUAGGGGGCAAGCGUUGUCCGGAAUUAUUGGGCGUAAAGAGCUCGUAGGCGGUUUGUUGCGUCGGCUGUGAAAUCCCGAGGCUCAACCUCGGGUCUGCAGUCGAUACGAGCAAACUAGAGUGUUGCAGGGGAGACUGGAAUUCCUGGUGUAGCGGUGAAAUGCGCAGAUAUCAGGAAGAACACCCGUGGCGAAGGCGGCUCUCUGGGACGGUACUGACGCUGAGACGCGAAAGCGUGGGGAGCGAACAGG